AUUGAACGCUGGCGGCAGGCUUAUCACAUGCAAGUCGAACGGGUGGCGGACGGGUGAGUAAUGCUUGGGUAUCCGGCUUAUGCAGGGGGAUAACUACGGGCAACCGGAGCUAUUACCGCGUACCAUGGGAUGGGCCCAAGUGGGAUUAGGUAGUUGGUGAGGUAAAGGCUCACCAAGCCGACGAUCUCUAGGUGGUCUGAGAGGAUGACCAGGCACACUGGGACGGAGACACGGCCCAGACUCCAACGGGGGGCAGCAGAGGGGAAUAUUGCGCCAGGGGGGCAACCUGACGCAGUCAUGCCGCGUGGAUGAAGAAGGCCUGCGGGUUGUAAAGUUCUUUCGGUAGCGAGGCGUUAACUACAGAAGAAGCACCGGCGAACUCCGUGCCAGCAGCCGCGGUAAUAC
rnacentral:rRNA from 1 species